rnacentral:lncRNA from 1 species
AGGUCAUUGUGGUAUAUUCAUAUACCCAAUUUGAGCAUCGUAUAAGAAGUUAUUAUGCAUUGUCGGUUAUGUGCCUUAAAUAACUUUUUUAUAGUUGUUUCGCAUAUAGGUGAUACCUAUCCCGAUGACGAGCGUAUUCAAAGACAUCACGGGGGUUACGACUGUUCGACUUACCAGUGAGUGGGCAGUAUUUUCUGUAUUUACCUAUAUACUAUUGAUUUUUCCCAGAAAUUGAAAAAAAAUGAAAGUAUGUUUUAAAAUGCCAUGCAUACAUUAUAUGAAUUGAUAAUUGAUGCAUAUAUAUAUGUGAAAUGGUGCUGUGGACGCACAUGUGAGUAUCAGGUGAGUUUUAUGUUAAUCAUAUGACUUAUUGUGAUGUGAAUUGUAUUGAAAGCUCAAACAUGCACCAUUGGUGUUAGUGCUUAUAUUAUUCACCCCGCACCACACGCUCACCUUGGAUCCAAGUAGGUGCAUGUCGUACAUACCGUUAGAGGGUUCCAACAUGUCGUACAGACCAUGAGAGGUGGUUCCGACUUGUAGGUGAUUUUAGAUUAUUAUACAGCUGUUGAUGAGAGAAGCACUAGAGCGUAUUCUUACACCUUUCUUAUCGUACAGACUACUUCAGGUAGUUCCGAUUUAUGUGCAGAGUGGCGACGUACAGGUCACUGUGGUGACUCCGGUUGGAUUGGAUAUUGAGCUUUAGAAUUAACCGUACAGGACCAACUGCAGGGUCUCUAGUUGAUUCCUUAUUUCACAUGUUAUAAUGUUGCAUCCUUAUUUUGUAAUUGACGCUUAUAGCAUGACAUAUUUUCUAGUUUUUGAUAAAGAUUGGUGAUUUGAGAUAUUCGAAGAAUUAUAUGCAUAUUAUGUUAUUUUCUGGGAAAGUAUACAGGUUUUACAACGACGGGUUAGAAAUGUUGUUAAAUUGAAAUGUUUUCGAAAAUCUUUGUUUUACUGACCCACUUAAUUUUGUUUUGCACCCCUCCAGGUUUUAGUUAGUCGCGUGGUAGCUCACGAGGAUUCCCACGGCAUUCUGACAGACUACUCAUGUAGGACUCACCUUUGGGUGUUGUAAUUUAUUAUGGUCCUACUUGACUGCACCUAGUACUUAUGCUCUGAAUAUGUGUAUUUCACACUUAAACCUACGCUAGCAUGCUAGUUGGAUAUUAUUGCUAGUAGUUGGGUUUUUAUUCCUUCGUAUUUCUCUUAUCUAUUGUUUUCGCGUCGCACUUUUGGUUACGUCAUGCCCCACGUGACGGCCCCUGAUUCUAGGAUCGGGGUGUGUCAUCACUCAAUUUAUUUUGUCCACCUAUUUGGCUUGAAAGUUUGCUCUCGCCCCGGGGGAGGGGGUGGGUG